UAAAUCCUACGGGGGGCAGCAGUGGGGAAUAUUGCGCAAUGGGGGAAACCCUGAUGCAGCGACGCCGCGUGAGUGAAGAAGUAUCUCGGUAUGUAAAGCUCUAUCAGCAGGAAAGAUAAUGACGGUACCUGACUAGGGAGCCCCGGCUAACUACGUGCCAGCAGCCGCGGUAAUACGUAGGGGGCAAGCGUUAUCCGGAUUUACUGGGUGUAAAGGGAGCGUAGACGGCAGCGCAAGUCUGGAGUGAAAUGCCGGGGCCCAACCCCGGAACUGCUUUGGAAACUGUGCGGCUCGAGAGCGGGAGG
rnacentral:rRNA from 1 species